GGCUCAGACGAACGCUGGCAGCGUGGAUUAGGCAUGCAAGGUCGAACGGGAUCCGGUAGGCAGCGAAUGUCGGCCGGUGAGAGUGGCGGAAGGGCGAGGAACACGUGGGCAACCUGUCUCGUGAGGUGGGGAAAACCGUUGGAAACGACGGCUAAUACCGAAUGUAGCGCCCGCUCGCAUGAGCGGAGCGCCAAAGGGGGCGAAAGCUCCCCCUCUCCGAGGGGCCCGCGCACCAUCAGCUUGUUGGCGGGGUAACGGCCCACCAAGGCUCACGGUUAGCUGGUCUGAGAGGAUGGCCAGCCGCACUGGGACUGAGAUACUGCCCAGACUCCUACGGGAGGCUGCAGUCGAGGAUCAUUUGCAAUGGGCGAAAGCCUGACAAUGCGACGCUGCGUGGAGGAUGAAGGCCCUCGGGUUGUAAACUCCUGUCAUGGGGGAAAAGGAAAAGGGACCCAACACGUCCCCGAUUUGAUGGUACCCCAAGAGGAAGCGACGGCUAAUUCUGUGCCAGCAGCGGC
rnacentral:rRNA from 1 species